UACGGAGGGUGCGAGCGUUAUUCGGAAUCACUGGGCGUAAAGGGCGCGUAGGCGGCCUGGUAAGUCAGGGGUGAAAUCCCACGGCUCAACCGUGGAAUUGCCUUUGAAACUGCUGGGCUUGGAUCCUGGAGAGGGUGGCGGAAUUCCUGGUGUAGGAGUGAAAUCCGUAGAUAUCAGGAGGAACACCGGUGGCGAAGGCGGCCACCUGGUCAGAAACUGACGCUGAGGUACGAAAGCGUGGGGAGCAAACAGG
rnacentral:rRNA from 1 species